UACGUAGGCAGCAAGCGUUGUUCGGAGUUACUGGGCGUAAAGAGUGUGUAGGCGGUGCUCUAAGUUUGGUGUGAAAUCCCCCGGCUUAACCUGGGAACUGCGUCUGAUACUGGGAGGCUUGAGUAUGGGAGAGGGAUGUAGAAUUCCAGGUGUAGCGGUGAAAUGCGUAGAUAUCUGGAGGAAUACCGGUGGCGAAGGCGGCAUCCUGGACCAUAACUGACGCUGAGGCGCGAAAGCUAGGGGAGCAAACGGG
rnacentral:rRNA from 1 species